rnacentral:rRNA from 1 species
AACAGGAUUAGAUACCCUGGUAGUCCACGCCGUAAACGAUGUCGACUUGGAGGUUGUUCCCUUGAGGAGUGGCUUCCGGAGCUAACGCGUUAAGUCGACCGCCUGGGGAGUACGGCCGCAAGGUUAAAACUCAAAUGAAUUGACGGGGGCCCGCACAAGCGGUGGAGCAUGUGGUUUAAUUCGAUGCAACGCGAAGAACCUUACCUACUCUUGACAUCCAGCGAACUUAGCAGAGAUGCUUUGGUGCCUUCGGGAACGCUGAGACAGGUGCUGCAUGGCUGUCGUCAGCUCGUGUUGUGAAAUGUUGGGUUAAGUCCCGCAACGAGCGCAACCCUUAUCCUUUGUUGCCAGCGAUUCGGUCGGGAACUCAAAGGAGACUGCCGGUGAUAAACCGGAGGAAGGUGGGGAUGACGUCAAGUCAUCAUGGCCCUUACGAGUAGGGCUACACACGUGCUACAAUGGCGCAUACAAAGAGAAGCGACCUCGCGAGAGCAAGCGGACCUCACAAAGUGCGUCGUAGUCCGGAUCGGAGUCUGCAACUCGACUCCGUGAAGUCGGAAUCGCUAGUAAUCGUGGAUCAGAAUGCCACGGUGAAUACGUUCCCGGGCCUUGUACACACCGCCCGUCACACCAUGGGAGUGGAUUGCAAAAGAAGUAGGUAGCUUAACCUUCGGGAGGGCGCUUACCACUUUGUGAUUCAUGACUGGGGUGAAGUCGUAACAAGGUAACC